ensembl:lncRNA
UUUACUUUCUUACACCGAGUUUUCUCCACUUUUUAUCCACAUACUUGUUUCAUUUAAUUAUAUGUACUUGGUUUUUCUGAGUACACAACAUGGUUUGUGGUAUGAGACUUAAGUUUCAGAGCUGUGCGCCCCUGUGCGCAUGUCCAUUUCCGGUUAGCGCUCAUUGACCGGAAGUAAGCGGUCAAAGCCGUUCACGCAGACCCAGGGCUCUCACGGAAGGUUGGCUCUAACGUUGAUUUCGAUCCAGACUGUACAAGCUCAAGUUUACAAGUAAAGAAAGGACAAUCCUCAAAAAGAAAGUCUUGGAUUGUGGCCAACUGUCUUCCACUGAGAAUCAAAUCAGUGUCUACUGGAGGAGGCAUGCACUGGACAUGUAGGUUUUGCGCUUUUGUCUCUUUAAAACGUGGC